UUAGGUAAAUGUCGGACUCGGUAGUAUAUUCUUUUAACUUACACAGUUUUCACUGAAAAAACAUUUGUAACAUUUUAAUAGUGCUUGUGAAAUUCUACAGGUGUGUGUGUGUGUGUGUGUGUGUGUGUGUGUGUAUUCGCCUGCCUGCGCAUGGGACAUCCGGUGACGGAAGAUGAUAGCGUGUGAUAUUUCGAAGUGCACUUGUCGAAUAUUCGACGAAAUUGGAAACUACAGGAUAUUGGAUAUUCCAGGAUGAACUUGAAGCCACAGUUUGAAAUGCCUACCUAACAUCAGUUUUUAUGGUAAACUCUCAAUUCCCGUAAGUGAAGCCUGGAGAAGAGGGAUAGUGGAUCUACCACGCAAGUGAUGGAUGGAAGAAGCUGCCAAAUGACUAUAAAUGGGCGAAUUUCAGAUUUUAAAGGACAUAAGUAUAACAUUUUAUUUGAGCCGCAAAAUCCCUUGGUAUAACUACAUUAUCUAUUUUUGAGGAGAGUAAUGUCUUGAAAGAGUAGAGAGUACUAUGGACUAGUCAAUAUAUGAGAUAGUGUAGUAUAGUACUCAGCUGUAAAAAAAAAGGUUUCUUAAAGUUAAAUUAAAGCCUUGCCGCUCUCAACUUAGGUCUUAUGAUUUUUUUAGUAAAUUUUUAAAGUUCUAAAUCUUUAACUUAAAAAAUGGGAAGUAAUAUUAGACCAGGAAGUUUUGAUGUCCUCGAAGAUUAUUCAAAGAUCCUUUACCUGAAAGGAAUUGAUAGUAUGUAACUCUACGGUUUGCUAGAGUAACUAGAUUAAGGCCUAGUGAUGGCUGUAUGAAUGUAGGUCCUUGGGCUGUUAACAUCAAGCCUUUGAUACAACACGCCAUGCUGCUGCGCAACAAAAGUUUAGUUUCAGUACAGUGAUAAAUGGUGAGGUGGUAUGCAUUUUUUAGGAUAUUAGUUAAAAAACUGUCCUCGGUAGAUUUAGUUCUCGGGGCUUCUGGGCCGAGUUAUAAAAGUUUGGAAGUUAGACCAAUUUGGUGGGUUUAAAGUUUAGUUAUCCAUUUGAUGCAAAAUCACAGUUGCUGAUCCUAUUCUUGGUAAUGCUCUGACUGCAUAAGUGUCUUGCGAAAGCCGAGGCUCUGUCAAAUUUGAAUUUUAUGAGUUUAUGAAUUUGAAGUUCACUAAAGUGAUAUAAAGUUACCCCUUCAGUGCCUGGACUGAAAUUUGUAGACCUUUUUUUUUUCCAAUAAUGAAUUCAAGAAAUGACAUUUAUAUUCCUAGAUUUGUAAUAUAUAAACUUUUAUGAAGAAUGCGUUUUAUGUAAUGGUAUGUAGAAAUUAGUGUAUGUACAAAUUGAAGUUUAAACUGAACUUCAAAUGUUUACUGAAUUACAUAGUCGCUGGAACUGAACUAAAUUAAUUUUUGCGGUCUCUUAGUUACCGCUAGAUGAAAUGGUCUUUGAAAUAUAAGACUAGAUUUGAACACAGGUUGAAACAGCACUUGAGUUCUACAGCUCAGUUGACUUUAAAAAUCCUCUGAUCUUUUUUGUGAACUUUUUUUAAUUUGAUCAGGAAUUUUUGCAAAGAAAUUCUAGCAAUCUGUAUGGCAGACUUGGCUUUGGUCAGCUGUUUUCAUCUAGAAAAGUUUUGUAGGAAUUUCAAAUCUGUAUUAUGGGUUUACAAAAUUUGAAAUUAUGAUCUUGGGACAUAAGACAUUGUAAGUUCCAAGAAGUCGUUGUAAGUUAACUUAUUUUCUGGUAAUUAGUACAAAAAAAACAUUUUGUAGGACAUUUGGUAAGAAAUAUUUUAGGUUAUAAAUAUAAAGAUUUUAUAAAUUAAAUAAUAAAGGAGAAACUGAUUAAUGCUAGUACUGAUAACAAUUAUAAUUACUGAAUACUAAUUGCUAAAGAUAGUUUGAUUUUUAGAACUUCUGUACUCUGACAGUUUGUAUUAGUUCCCAUUUCUUUUGAAUAACUUUACAUUCUUCCAUGUUAAGUUAGACAGUCUGCUGGAAUGGAAUUAGACUGGAAUUAGACUGGAAUAAUCAUACAACUGCAAAUUUGAUCGCUCAUCUCUGUCAAGAGGAAUUUUCCAUCUGACUUAAAGAAUUGUGAUGGUAGGGAUGAUACCUGAUUUUUAAUUAAAACCGCUAGAAAUUUUUCGUACAGAGGCUUUUUGAGUAUCUUUCGUUUAUUUUCCAGUGCAGAUACUGCUUGUAGGUAAUGUUAAAUUAUUUCAUUUGAGUUUUUAGAAGUUUAUUUUAAUAUUUUGAAAGCAAAUAAGUGUUCUUUGAUAAAAUCCACUUCAGUUGAAAAUUUCAUUAUACAAUAACGAGAUGAUUGGAUUCUUAAAAUUCUUAACUUAAAUUCAUUCACAGUUCUAAUGGUUUAAAUCACAAGUCCAUUCAACUUUCUAUCGUCGUACUUAAAAAGUCUCGUUAUCAAAUCUCAUUCUCCUCAGCGCGUUGGCAUUUGUGAAUUCUUGUAUUUACGUAAAUGCAAUAUCCAGACGCUAAUAAUGACAGUUUUAUUACAUAAAAUUGCUUCUGUUAUAGACUUGCUCUUUAUUUUAAAGUUGGUCCCUUAACUAGUGACAAAUAAGUCUUUGGAGUUGAGUUUCAACUAAAAGUUCUUGAUUGGAUUGAACACAGAUAUUGUGAUGUAGCUUUAUUUCUGAUGAAGAGUAGUUAGGUUUCGGUUAUGAGUGUUUAGAAUAUGCUUUGGUGGUGGUAAUGAGUAUGAGACCAGUUGACAUUCACUAAGAUUGCAUUGCAGUUCAAUGUUUUAAUGCUGACUUGAAAUUUUAUUGCUGGAAUUAGGGUUUUAAUUUUGUGUUUUCAUAAAAAACUUAGCUCUGCCAGAGUAGGUCACAAGUUAAAUCUUGAAACGAUGUACGUGACUAGUCUAUAGGCUUAUUUGUCCGUGAAAGUUUUGAGUUUACUCUUGGUGCUUGUAGAACUAUUCUUCCCGGUUUGUGAAUGUUAAUUUAAGUCUUGUAUACCGGAAUACUGUUUUUUGCUGGCCCGUAGUCAGCUGCUUUAGCUAGGUGCAUACUGCAAUUGUGCUUUUUAGCUACUUGUCCUUGUGGGCCUCUAUUUUUGAGAAUUGCCAUUAGUCAGCUCUUGAUUUAAGUAGGUGCAAGAAUUGGUCGGAAAGUUUCUCUUAAACUUUAAAUUUAAAGAAUUUUUCAGUAUUAAAUAAAAAAUUCUCUCUUCCAACAGUACAGGGUAAUUUCGUAUUUGGUAUAAAUUCACAUAAGCUCAUAGGUUUUCUGAUAUCUUAAUAUUUUCUUAUUGGUUUCUAGUGUAAAGGUUAAAUUUGACUAUAAGAGGACUAGACGCACUGUAAGAAUUGUUGAGGUGUAUAGCAGAGAAAAUCAAUUCACCAGUUACCCGAAUAUUCUUGAAGCAUUCGGUAGAUCACUUUCUUCAUUCUGGUUCGUAUCUCUUCAGAGACUGAACUUUAUUAUAACUGGUUCCUUGUCCUUUUCUACCUAUACUUCUAUUUUUGGAAGCUUUCGUGCAUUUAUAUAUGUUUUCAGACUUAAAAAAUAUCUGCAUCUCGUGGAAGCAUAUGUUGAGCUUUACGUUUACUUUUAUAUCCGGUCAUGCUUGAUCUAUGUAGAUUUUCGGUUCCUAGCAUGGUUAUUAAAACUAAUGGAGACUGUCACUACGUUAAUAUUAAUUAGUUAAGAGAACUGGUACUUGGCAAUAAGCUUUGUAACUGGUGAAAGUGAGAGUUGUAGUGGUAUGGGUAAUUUUUUCUAUGGCAUUUUAAGAACUUCUGCGUUUUUUGUUUAGAGGUAUACGCGAAACCCUUCAAUUACUUUUAUUCAAGGUGUUCCUUUGUACUAUAGUGGAAUUUCAGCCAGGUAUUGCAUUUCAGAAAAAUAUAUAGAAUAUUUUAAACUGCUGUUUUCCAUUUUGUGUGUUAAGAAUUUAGGUAAUAACCAAGUGAUCUUAUUGUAUUUUGAUUUUGGUAUCAGAGAAUACUAGUACAGGCAGUCCCCGGGUUACGACGGGGGUUCCGUUCUUGAGACGCGUCGUAAGCCGAAAAUCGUCGUAAGCCGGAACGACGCUUG